UUAAGAGUAGGUUAAAUUAAACCAAAGACUUGUGGAGUCUUAAAUUCGUUUGACUUUUGAA
rnacentral:tRNA from 1 species